rnacentral:misc_RNA from 1 species
GAGGAGAUACGUGAGACCUUUCAUUUACCUGAUGACCUCACGGAGGAAGAGAAAUUGGAGCCCCUUAGAAACAUUACUGAUGAUCCGCGCAUCCGGCUUUUAAAUCGAUUAUAUGCCAGAAAGAGGAAGGAAUUGAAAGAGCGAGAGAAAAUGAAGAAUGUUGAGGUUGAGGAGGAGCGUGUGGAUGAACGCUCCGUCGACGAUCUCUUGUCAUUUAUAAAUGGUGCAGAUGGAGAUUCAAAAGGUAGUAG